GAGCUUCCUCCCUCAACUCUGGUUCCAUGGGGCCCAAACUGUGGUGUCAGCAUUGGCAUUGCGGAAGAGACAGGAGCUCACAAGGCCUGGAAGGUGGCAGGAUGGGUUGUUGCAGUGCUACUGGCCGCUCUGUGAGACAACUUGAUCCAACAACAGCCAGAGGUCGAGUCCUUCCAGACACCAAAAAGAUGAGUGAUGUGAGAAGCUUUUGCACAAAUUAAAUACACAGGUUGAGAAGGUAAGAAGCAAGCAGGGAGUCACCUACCGAAGCAAUCAUCAACAGCUCUUGCAAAAAUGCAGCCUUCUGAAAUAUAAAAAAGCUGCUUCUGAUAGCCGAAACCUACUACGCUGCAUUUCCCAGACACCUCCAAAACUCCACACUUUCUCUGACCAAAUUCAAACUGCACCGUGUCUGACACCUACUGAGGAAGGUGUAUGAGACACAUUCAAGAUUGCCUUGGGAUAGCCACUAACAGUCAGAAGCCUAUUACUCACGAGGACCCUGUUGUUCAUCACCCAGUGCCAAAACAUAGGCACAUUCACACAACCAACUUAUAUUGCUUUUACACCAAUAUAACCUGGUUCUAAAAUACUCUCAAUGUGAUAUUAGUCUGCUAAAUUGUCGCUUCAUGUUUAGCUAUACUUCAUUGUCAUUGCAUUGUAUGUAUUUGUAAGCCAGCUCGAGUGUAGGAGAGACAGAAUAAAAAAUAACGACUGAUAUGCAGACUAUGGAAGUGUGCCUGCAGUGAAUGUGCUGUAUGUGUUACCGGAGAAGGGAAAUUUUAAAUUGAUCUCCCCUUCCCUCCGAAGCUCACUGGGGCUCCCAAAACUAUGUCCCUAAGGGCCAUGCAUCUUCAUCUCAGAAGGAAGUAUUGACUGUUCACACAAUACUUCAUCUGCCAGCUCAACCCUAUGAGACAAGGAAGUGAGCACUCCAUGAGUGUGCUUGCUGUUCUCCACUCCUGGCACACCAGGCUGUGGUCAUCCAGACCAUUCCUCUAAUGUGUGCUGCAAAUAUUAGCAUAAAUAUUACUAUAUCUGUGACAUGUGUCGAAGGAGAUUCAAACAAGCACUUGUGUGACUAAAGAAUUGCCUCCUGGCAUGCUGGGAUGGGCAAAGGAAUGUGCAAUUUCGCAGAGCACUCACUUAUUUAAAAGGUGGGGUGGGGCCCAUGGACAAAGCUCUCUCAUCAAAGAAGCAUAGUUCAGAGGGUUCCCUGAGGAGAAAUAAUGACCAUUAAAGGUACCUGUAUUCCCGCCCCCUCCAAUGAGGCCAGUAGAAGCUGGGAGGGAGAGAAUGUUGAUGGAGAAAAUGACUCAGGGGAAAGAGUGAAACAGACCCUCACCUUUGCUGCUGCUCUAACCAACUGACAGUACUACAUGGCAACCUUUCAGUAAAAACAAACCACCACAAACCCACCCAUAAACAAAAGCCAGGAGAGAAACAUCAGAUCUCAUGUGUGUUGUAUUCUGUUUAGUUAUCUUUUGUGUUUUGUUUGGAUGUUUGUCCUGGAGGGGAUCCCUAAUUUAUUUAUUUAUUUCAGAAAGGAAAAGGGAGGGGAAGGAGAAAAUGGGGUUGUUGCUGAAUAAAACUUUUAGUUAAAUCUACAUAAGUUUUCUUUGUGUGCAUGAGGGAAACAGUUAUAAAACUAUAUUCAAUAUGUAGUUUGGCGGCCAAACUUUGGGCCUUAGUCUGUUGUGCAGAUCAAGUCUGGAGAGAAAAGGCCAUUUUGCAUAACAGAGGAAGAUAUCUGCAACAUCAUCACACCAUAACCCAGAACAUGUGAAGUGGGUUAUUAAUAGAUUCACAUUAGUCUCCUUUCUUUUGCAUUAUUUAUUUUAAUAAUA